UGGGGAAUAUUGGGCAAUGGAGGCAACUCUGACCCAGCCAUGCCGCGUGGAGGAUGAAGGUCCUCUGGAUUGUAAACUUCUUUUAUUUGGGAAGAAAUGCCAAUUUUCUAAUUGGUUUGACGGUACCAGAUGAAUAAGCACCGGCUAACUCCGUGCCAGCAGCCGCGGUAAUACGGAGGGUGCAAGCGUUAUCCGGAUUCACUGGGUUUAAAGGGUGCGUAGGCGGGCAUAUAAGUCAGUGGUGAAAUCCCCGAGCUUAACUUGGGAACUGCCGUUGAUACUAUGUGUCUUGAAUAUCGCGGAGGUAAGCGGAAUAUGUCAUGUAGCGGUGAAAUGCAUAGAUAUGACAUAGAACACCGAUUGCGAAGGCAGCUUACUACACGAUCAUUGACGCUGAGACACGAAAGCGUGGGGAGCAAA
rnacentral:rRNA from 1 species